UCAAAAAUGUUCCUGGUACACCAUGUCCCUCACUUGUCAGAACCAAACUCGUCUGCUCAUUUAUUUAUGACAUUAUUUUCCCUGAGAGAGGCUUUGUACUGUCGCACCAAUGGGGGCUAAAGACAUCAGAGGAAGAAGACACCUGGGGAGAAUCUCAAUUGGUUUUGCUCGACUCCUCGCAUCCUCUCCUCCGUCUUCUCCUCGCGUGCUUUUGAAAAAGGUCAAAGAAAACAACAGCUGAUUCAAAAGUGGUGUGGUGGAUUUUAAAACAUUUCUGCACUAGCCACCAGGAGGAUCAUCUUGUGCGUCAUCUGCCAAAGUAUGUCAUCAAAGAGGUGAGCAUGCUCCUCCAUCUGCCAAAGUAUGUCAUCAAAGAGGUGAGCAUGCUCCUCCAUCUGCUUACUAAUGACAUGACACUCUCCUCGACCACACGGAGGAGAGGAGGACGGAGGAGUCGAGGAGAGGACAGACCUUUUCCCAAUUGAGAAUCUCCCCUGGACACGCUCCAUAUGGAGUCACAUGACCAUCGUGUCCUUGUCUUGUGCUUCACAACAGAUACUGAAAAUGGAAAUGUGGGAUCGACAUAAAAUACAUUCUGGCCAAUAACCCAGAAAGACAUAGAUAUUUGGAAAAUUAUUGAAAUGGUGUCCUCUUGUUCCAAUGUGGUCUCAAUGCCAAUAGGACUAUACACUAAAUGAACAUCAUUUCCGAAACAAUGCUUUUCAGAGAACGCUUUCCAUUGAGUGCAUCAUUGUACUUUGCCUUUUCAUUCACCUCAGUCAUUUGUUCAAUAUCUAGAAAUAGUCCAGACAGUCAUAGUACUUAUUUUGAAUGGACACAAGUGAUGUGUACACAUAGGCUCUUUUUUAUCAUACUGAUGGCAAUAUCUAAAAAAAAAAAAAUCAGUUUGACAUUGUGGGGAGAUAGAACAGUAGAUCAGUUGAAGAUCAGCUUCACAAGCCUGGACAUGUGCUCUGAGCAGAGCACAUGCCCAUGAAUUAUCUGAAGGAGUACUGGUAGGCAGGUGUUGGGCAGAGCAGAGCUGAGUAGGAUUCAUAUUGAGAUGUCCAUCACGGCUCACUGGUUUGAUAUUUCCAUCAUGGACAGCAAAGGAGACCUUGACAGUUGGGCUGCUCACAGCAAGCUGUUUUCAUGGCUUGAAGAGCCCUUAACAUGCACCAGAGUUGAAGGAUUGGUAGGAGAUUAUUAAAUAAAGUGACAAGCACACUACCCAUUCAUUCGCUGCUUCGAAAUCACUGUGGAAUACAGUAUCA